UUUUUUCUUGUUGCUUGUAUGUUCUGCUAUUUUCUAGUGCUGAAUUCAGCACUUAGCCCAAUUUUGACUUUGUGCAGCUCAGAGACCACCCAUGUAACCAGAGAAUACCUCGUUGUGCCAAUCUUGAUGGUUGAAACAGACAUGAAGGGCAUCAGUCAGUUUCUAGAACAAGAAAUGCUAAACUCAGUGAGACCAGUUUAUUCUUCUGAUUACUUUGCUAAUUCCAAUGAGCUGAAUAAGGUUCAAUAGUCUUAGCAUUAUCAAAAACAAAAAUAAAGGGGGAGGGGGGGGAGGGUGUCAUUAAGCAGAGGAUACAUCUACUUGCAGAGGUAGCCAAAACACCUGUUACAUACAGAUAGAAAAACACAAGCUUUUGACCAUACAUUCCUUUAAUACAAAAACACAAACUGUGUUUUGCUAUAUCCAGUGACCACCAUACUCACCAAAAAUGUACUACUUAAAUAUUAUUACUGCUUAAAUAUUAUUCUUUUUUAGAAGAAGAAAGAAAAUUAUCUACUAAUCUAAAAUGCAAUGUUUUUGGAAAAAUGUGUCAUUUUUCUAAGAUUGCAAAAUGAAUCCUGAAGGGAUUUAUUCCACAUGUGAAUUGUUGGAUAGAGCAAGUCUUUUCUUCCUCGAAUUUUCCUAGGGAUUUUAAAAAUUACAUUAAAAAAGCACAGAAUUUUAAAGUAAAUUCUCCAUAAAUGUAGUGCAAAGCUCCUAACAAGCACAGUCUUUGUGGGAUUGAGAUCUAAAGACAUAGUAAUUGCAUCAAACUACAACCUGGAGAACUGAAGCAUUGUGUAUGAAGGCAAGGAAAAGAAAGCAAAUUAUGUUAGCAGUGCUAGACACUGCUGCACAUGGAUGGGAGCUAGGGGAGAGGAAGAACAGGAGCAGUGCUUUGAAUCAGCUAGAAUUGAUUGCAUGUAGAGCUAUCAGGACUUUCCCAGUGUCUACAGAUGUGCAGCAAACCAAAUCACCAGAAUAUGAUUAUUUUUGUCCUAUCCAAGUUUAUCAUUUGAGAAAACAAAGGAGAAGAAGAACAGAAAUGUUAAGGUCACAGUUUUAACAUCUAAGAUCAUCAGCUCAUGGUGAUGAAAGUUGACAAAUUCAGAUUAAAAAAAAAAAAAAGUCACAAGCUGCACAACAAGGACUUUCUGACAACAACUUUCUGACCUUUGUUUGGGGUUCAUGGAACAAUGCCCCCUUCCCUCCUGUGCAGGGCAGGAGCUCUGUAGCUGUAGUGGAAAGUCUAUCCCUCACCUCAGAAAAACAGAAGCUAAGUGAAACAAUAGCUAUUCACCUCAAAAUACUUGAAAUAGUGCUUUUAAGUGUCAAAAGAAAAAGAAUCUGCAGAAGAUAAGAGAAGAUACAAACACUGAAUAUAUCAGUCACAGUGUACAGUCAAGACUACAUGCUUGUUCAGAGUACCACUUUGAAUGGAAAACAAGGAUGUAAUUGUAUACUACAUUACUGUUACUGAGCUGGAUGUCCUACAUGUAUGUACAGAUAUCUGAAACAUACCUGAUUUCUUGAUGUCUGUGAUGCCUUCCUUUCUCCCUUUAUUUUUCCUUUUAAGUUUGUUCUUUCACAGUUGAUUUAAUUUUCAUAAUCUGUAUUACAUUUCUGAUUCUAUGUUCAUCUGCAGGUUUUUCCCGGUUUCUCCUAGUUAAUUUUUCAGAUGUUCUGCAUUCAGCUGUCUUAGGAAAGAAUGGAGAAGUUGCAUCUCCCAUGAGCCAGUAAACAGAACACUAAUAGCUGUCUCAGGCAAAACUGCAUGUUCCAUAUUUUCACCCAGAAUAACAAUUUUACACUCACUGCUCCACUUAAAGCUAUAUCAUUGAGACAGAUCUGACAUCUGUCCAGCAAAAAAAAAGCCCAAACUUACAACAACAAGAAGACGCGUAGCACAACUUUCCUUAAUAUUAAUAAGUUUAGCAUCCUAGGAGUGCACAAAGCACCUGUCUCUGGGCAUAUGGUUACAGUGUACUGUUACCCUGGAGUGCAAUGAUGAGUGGGUAGGGAGGAAAGCCAGAGAAAGCUCUGGGCAAAAGAGCUAGAAUAAUGUAGAAAUAAAGACGGGGGUGGGGAACUGUAAAAAUGCUUG
rnacentral:lncRNA from 1 species